rnacentral:rRNA from 1 species
AUGUCGGUGGAGACGGAGCGGAGCUCCACGGAGUCCUCCGCCGCCUCGGGCCUUGACUUCGAGGACACCGCCCUCACCCUCCGCCUCCCCGGCUCCGACCCCGACCGCAAGCGCGCCUCCACCUCCGACCCCGACUGCCCCUCCCCGACCGCCGCCGCCUCAGACUCUCCCCCUUCCCCCAAGGCGCAGGUGGUGGGCUGGCCACCGGUGCGGUCGUUCCGGAAGAACGCCCUCGCGGCCGCGGCCUCGUCCAAGACCAAGUUCGUCAAGGUGGCCGUCGACGGCGCGCCCUACCUGCGCAAGGUCGACCUCAAGGCUUACGCGGGCUACACAAGCUCUGCCUCCUACGACCAGCUCCUCGCCACGCUCCAGGACAAGUUCAUCUCCCACCUCACCGUCCGCAAGCUUGGGAACGAGGAGAUGAAGCUCGUGGACGCGGUGAGCGGGACGGAGUAUGUGCCGACGUACGAGGACAAGGACGGCGACUGGAUGCUCGUCGGAGACGUCCCCUGGAGAAUGUUUGUGGAGACCUGCCAGCGCAUUCGUCUCAUGAAAAGCUCUGAGGUUGUCAAUCUAGCACCAAGAUCUGGUCGGUGA